rnacentral:rRNA from 1 species
AGAGUUUGAUCCUGGCUCAGAUUGAACGCUGGCGGCAUGCUUUACACAUGCAAGUCGAACGGCAGCGCGGGGCAACCUGGCGGCGAGUGGCGGACGGGUGAGUAAUGUUUCGGAAUGUGCCUAUUAGUGGGGGAUAACGUUGCGAAAGUUAUGCUAAUACCGCAUACGCUCUACGGGUGAAAGCAGGGGAUCUUCGGACCUUGUGCUCCUGGAGCGGCCGAUAUCUGAUUAGCUAGUUGGUGAGGUAAAGGCUCACCAAGGCGACGAUCAGUAGCUGGUCUGAGAGGACGACCAGCCACACUGGAACUGAGACACGGUCCAGACUCCUACGGGAGGCAGCAGUGGGGAAUUUUGGACAAUGGGCGCAAGCCUGAUCCAGCAAUGCCGCGUGAGUGAAGAAGGCCUUCGGGUUGUAAAGCUCUUUUGUCAGGGAAGAAACGGUGAAGGCUAAUAUCCUUCGCUAAUGACGGUACCUGAAGAAUAAGCACCGGCUAACUACGUGCCAGCAGCCGCGGUAAUACGUAGGGUGCAAGCGUUAAUCGGAAUUACUGGGCGUAAAGCGUGCGCAGGCGGUUUUGUAAGUCUGACGUGAAAGCCCCGGGCUCAACCUGGGAAUUGCGUUGGAGACUGCAAGGCUUGAAUCUGGCAGAGGGGGGUAGAAUUCCACGUGUAGCAGUGAAAUGCGUAGAGAUGUGGAGGAACACCGAUGGCGAAGGCAGCCCCCUGGGUCAAGAUUGACGCUCAUGCACGAAAGCGUGGGGAGCAAACAGGAUUAGAUACCCUGGUAGUCCACGCCGUAAACGAUGUCUACUAGCCGUUGGGGUCCUUGAGACUUUAGUGGCGCAGUUAACGCGAUAAGUAGACCGCCUGGGGAGUACGGCCGCAAGGUUAAAACUCAAAUGAAUUGACGGGGGCCCGCACAAGC